rnacentral:rRNA from 1 species
CGUACGGGUGAGUAACACGUGGGUAAUCUGCCCUUUGGUGGGGAAUAACCCUGGGAAACCGGGGCUAAUACCGCAUAAGUCCGAGAGGGGAAAGUCGCAAGACGCCGAAGGAGGAGCCCGCGGCCGAUUAGCUAGUUGGUAGGGUAAAAGCCUACCAAGGCAAAGAUCGGUAGCCGGCCUGAGAGGGCACACGGCCACACUGGCACUGAAACACGGGCCAGACUCCUACGGGAGGCAGCAGUGGGGAAUCUUGCACAAUGGGGGAAACCCUGAUGCAGCGACGCCGCGUGAGCGAUGAAGCCCUUCGGGGUGUAAAGCCCUUUCGGCAGGGAAGAUUAUGACGGUACCUGCAGAAGCAGCUGCGGCUAACUACGUGCCAGCAGCCGCGGUAAUACGUAGGCAGCAAGCGUUGUUCGGAGUUACUGGGCGUAAAGGGUGUGUAGGCGGUUUGGUAAGUCUGGUGUGAAAUCUCCCGGCUCAACUGGGA